rnacentral:misc_RNA from 1 species
GAUGAAGAACGCAGCGAAAUGCGAUAAGUAAUGUGAAUUGCAGAAUUCAGUGAAUCAUCGAAUCUUUGAACGCACAUUGCGCCCCCUGGUAUUCCGGGGGGCAUGCCUGUUCGAGCGUCAUUUCACCACUCAAGCCUCGCUUGGUAUUGGGCAACGCGGUCCGCCGCGUGCCUCAAAUCGACCGGCUGGGUCUUCUGUCCCCUAAGCGUUGUGGAAACUAUUCGCUAAAGGGUGUUCGGGAGGCUACGCCGUAAAACAACCCAUUUCUAAGGUUGACCUCGGAUCAGGUAGGGAUACCCGCUGAACUUAAGCAUAUCAAUAAGCGGAGGA